UGACGACCGCCGGGAGAGACCGCCGGGGCCAUCGCCCUGACGGCGCCGAAGGAGCAACCGCCCCGGAAACUCUCAGGCUCAAGGACCGGACGGU
rnacentral:ncRNA from 2 species